AGGAUUUCAGGCACCUGAUCUGCCUCGAAUGAGUUUCGCUGUGGCUGCCUUACUUUGGGAGAGUUUCAGUGGUUUUUCUUGGAAGGAACUUUGGCCGAGUUUUCUUUGAGGGAGAAUCAAUCCUUGUCUUCAUCUUGGACCUGGGCUCCUGGCUUCCAGUGCAGAUCUCUCAGCCUUUGGCUCUGAUCCUUGAGCCUUUUGGCACAGAUACUUCAGCUUCUGGCACUGGCCCGGGGCCUUUCUGUUGCAAAUCAUUUAAUCUCUCAUUGUGUAUCCUUUGGCCUCCUGAUACCAACUUCCAUGAGGUGUUUCUGUGUGCUCCAAGCCCUAGACUGGAAUCUUUUCAUGCUCAAGGCAUGGACCAACCUCUCACAUUCUUCUACAUCUAACUCAGUAUUUAUUGAACAUUUGUAUAUGCCACAUAAUAUGAUGAGUGUGGAAACACAAAAGAGAAUAAAAUACAAACCCAGCAUCUGAAGAACUCAACAUCUAGCAGCGUUCUGCAAUUGAGGAUGAAAAGUAAUAUGUUUUAAGUAUAUACAGACUGAGAACAUGUGGGAUGAAGAAGAACCUAAAUUCAGAAAUCUUCAUGCUGAUUUCCACCGUGGUUGUACCAGCCCAUCACCAAGAGGGAAAAGUUCCUGUUCCCCACAGCCCUGCCAGCAUUUGAUAUUGGUUGAUUUCAUGAUGACAGCCAUAUCUUCUGGAAUGAAGUGGAAUCACAGUAUUGUUUUAAUUUGCAUUUCUCAAACGACCAGUACUGUUGAACAUUUCUUCGUAUAUUUAUUUGCCAUUUGUAGCUGUAAUGAGAAGUGCAUGUUCAUCUCAGCUGCCCAUUUUUGGACUGGCUCUUUGAAUUUGAGGGGCCUAAUAAUUCUCAAUUCUUUGAAUGUUCUACAAAGAAGUCCUUUGUCUGCAGCAGAUGUAGCAGGAAAAAAGCUAUCUUGUGCAAAGUUACUCAGCUACAGAAAAAUGAAGAUGGAAUUUAGAUUGAGAAGUCUGACUCAAGUCUACCAAACUAAUUGCACGACAAAAUGCCAUUGAGAUCUCCCAUGAAAAUUUAACCUAUGGUUGAUACAGGCUAACAAAGAUAAAAACACUGUUUUAUGAAAGAGUUGUUAGUCUGAAAAGUAUCCUUUUUUCUUCUACAAAUUCCCUAUAAUGAAUGUAGUCAAUAUGUAUGUCGAAAA